rnacentral:rRNA from 1 species
CGGCGAACGGGUGAGUAACACGUAGGUAACCUACCUAUAAGACUGGGAUAACUUCGGGAAACCGGAGCUAAUACCGGAUAAUAUUUCGAACCGCAUGGUUCGAUAGUGAAAGAUGGCUUUGCUAUCACUUAUAGAUGGACCUGCGCCGUAUUAGCUAGUUGGUAAGGUAACGGCUUACCAAGGCAACGAUACGUAGCCGACCUGAGAGGGUGAUCGCCCACACUGGGACUGAGACACGGCCCAG